rnacentral:rRNA from 1 species
UGGCGGACGGGUGAGUAACGCGUGGAAACCUGCCGUAUACUGGGGGAUAACACUUAGAAAUAGGUGCUAAUACCGCAUAAGCGCACAGCUUCGCAUGAAGCGGUGUGAAAAACUCUGGUGGUAUACGAUGGUUCCGCGUCUGAUUAGCUAGUUGGUGGGGUAAUGGCCUACCAAGGCAACGAUCAGUAGCCGGCCUGAGAGGGUGAACGGCCACAUUGGGACUGAGACACGGCCCAAACUCCUACGGAAGGCAGCAG